CCUGACCUCAUGAUCUGCCCACCUUGACCUCCCAAGGUGCUAGGAUUACAGGCAUGAGCCACAAUAUAAUAAUUUUAAAGAGUUUUCGGUAUGUCUUUGGUCUCGAUGGGAUCUACGUCAUGUGCAAUCACCACCAGCUGAGCCUUCUUGUUCUCCACCAAGGUGGUGACGGUGUUAACUCCUGCUCGAAGGACAGGUGGUCUUUUAGUGGGGACAUCCCCUUUGCCAGCAGCUUUCUUCUCGGCCCGGGCCAACAGCCUCUGCUUCUUCUCUUGUUUUGUCUCUGGUCUGUACUUGUGGGCCAGCUUAAGCAGCUGAGUAGCUGUUUGGCGGUCCAGGGCCUGGGUGAACUGGUUAAUAGCAGGGGCCGGAGCCACCUUCUUUCCCUUGGCUUUCUUUCCUUUCGGCAUCUUGGGUCAUUUGUAAUCUCAAUAAAUGUUUCCUUUUCUAGUCUACAUCUUGAAACUCUGGAAAGCUUUAUAAUUUAAUAUAGAAAAGUUUAAGGAAAUCAAGCCGUAUUAUUAAUAUUUUUGUGUGAAGAAAUUUGUGCACAAUUGAUAUUUUAUAUACUUUUUUGUUAAGAUAAAUUGUUUCCAGAUUGAAAGAGCCUGCCAAUGGGCCCAGCAUAUGAAUUUUAAAAGCCUGGAAUCAUAGUGAGACCCCAUCUCUACAGCCUAAGGCACAUCGUCUAAAAAUUUCAAACUACAAGAUAUUAAAAAAAAAACCUCUCUAAGUCUCCAGAGAGAGAAAACAGAUGACAUUCUGAAAGCAGAAUGUAACAUUGAAAGCUGAAAGACAAUCGAAACAAACCUUUUCAAACACUGAGCGGGGAAAAACGGGCGGAUCAAUCUAACUUUCUUCAACUAGCCAUACUAUUAAGUGUGAGAAUAGAAUUAAGACAUUUUCUUUCUUUCUUUUUCUUUUUUUUUUUUUUUUUAAGUCAAGGUCUCACUCUGAUGUCCAGGUUGGAGUGCAGUGGAGUGAAGUACAGUGGAUCUUGACUCAUCACAACCUCCACCUCCUGGGCUCAAGUGAUCCUCCCACCUCAGCCUCCUCAGUAGCUGGGACUACAGUAUGCACCACUAUACCUGGCUAAUUUUUUUUUUUUUUUUUAAGUAGAGACACGGUUUUGCCAUGUUGCCCAGCCUAGUCUUGAACUCCUGAGCUCAUAAUCUGCCUGCUUCAGCUCCCCAAAGUGCUGGGAUUACAGGUGUGAGCCCCUGCACCUGGCCAAAACAUUUUCAGCUUAUAAAGAUUCAGUAGAUUUACCUUAGAAACCCUCUUCAAUAGAGAAGCAACUGGGAGAUGUGCUCCAGUAAAAUAAGGGAAUAAUCCUAUGAAGAGAAUGAAAUAAGAUCAAGGAAGCAGAAGACACAACACAAGAAAAUGGUGAAAAGAAGUCCAGUGGUAAUAUCUUGUCGCAGACCUAAACAUCUAGCUCUUACUGUAGAAUGUGGUAGUACCGGGCUAUGGAAUAGAGAUGUCGGUGGGGGACGGGGAAAUGGAAUUGAUUUGAUCAGUUGAAAAAUAGUGUUGAUAGGCAUACAGUGUAUCGUGGAACACAUAAGGAAAGCUGAGCGUAUGAAUAAGGGAAACUAAGCAAAUUUAAAAGUGAAGCAAUACCUGUAGGAAAAUACAAUAGGACAAAAACUAAAUUGCAGAGUAUACUCACUGGCACAGAAGUAAAUAAUGCUUAUGAAACCAUAAUAAUGCAAAUAUUGAUUACUGAUUUAUUGAACAAUUGUGAUACUGGGAAAAUGAAAAGAGGAAGAGGGAGUGGUGUGUGUAACGAGCUAAAUUCUCACUUACCUUAAGAAGUCAAUGAAUAAUGUCUGUAGUUUAGAAAUCAUGGCUGGGAAACAAUGGCUCAUGCCUAUAAUCUUAGCAGUUUGGGAGGCCAAGGCUGGAGGAUCUCAUGAGGUCAGGAGUUCAAGACCAGCCUGGGCAAAAUAGUGAGAUCCAUACCCCCCUCCCCUCCCCACCCUCUACACAAAAAUUUAAAAAUUAGCUGGGCAUGAUGGUGUGUGCAUAUAGUUCCAGCUACUCAGGAGGCUGCAGAGGGAGAAUCACUUGAGCCCAGGAGGUUGAGGCUGCAGUGAGCCAGGAUUACGCCAUGAUAUUCCAUCCAGCAUGGAUGACAGAGUAAGGUCCUGUUUCUAAAAAGAAGAAGGCUGGGCACUUUGGGAGGCCAAGGCAGGCAGAUCACCUGAGGUCAGGAGUUCGAGAACAGCCUGGCCAAUAUGGUGAAAUCCCGUCUCUACUACAAAUACAAAAUUAGCCGGGCGUGGUGGGGCAUGCCUAUAAUUCCAGGUACUUUGGAGGCUGAGGCAGGAAAAUCACUUGAACCUGGAAGGUGGAGGUUGCCCUGAGCUGAGAUUGUGCCACUGCACUCCAGCGUGGGCAACAAAGUGAGACUCUGUCUCAAAAAUAAUAAUAAUAAAAACAAAUUAAAUAUAAAUAAAAAUAAAAGAAGAGGAAUAAAAAAUAGUGUAUCAGUACAUGAUUAAGAGAUAUGAAAGUAGAUAUCAGAAAAAGUAUAUAGGUAGUAUAGUUGACGUUCUGGGAAGUUAAGCUAGUGGGCAGGGACUGGUAGGAAAAGGAUCACUGAGUUUCAUUAUAGUUCUACUCAUAUUAAUUUAUAUUUUAGUUUUCUG
ensembl:lncRNA